UACGUAGGGGGCAAGCGUUGUCCGGAUUUAUUGGGCGUAAAGAGCGUGUAGGCGCCAGGUAGGUCCGCUGUGAAAGUCCGAGGCUCAACCUCGGAAUGUCGGCGGAAACCCUCUGGCUAGAGUCCGGAAGAGGAGAGUGGAAUUCCCGGUGUAGCGGUGAAAUGCGCAGAUAUCGGGAAGAACACCCGUGGCGAAGGCGGCUCUCUGGAACGGUACUGACGCUGAGACGCGAAAGCGUGGGGAGCGAACAGG
rnacentral:rRNA from 1 species